UGGAAAGUGCUCUAAACGAUAUCCACGG
rnacentral:piRNA from 1 species